UACCAACAUAUGUUCCAAGACUCAAUUGAUAUUUCUGUUGCUCACUAGUGACAGCGAAGAAAUCAUAUUCUGCGUAUUUCUUGUUUCCAUAUGUAUCCUCCAUGUCAAUACGAAGUUCAUUUUGUGCAGCAGUUGUUAGUUUGUAGAUUUUAUCCAGCCCGAGCCAGAAUUCACCUUUCAGAUGACCAAAACCAUGUUUAUAAUCUUUCCAUCGUCGGUAGAAAUCAAC